UUUAGUUUGGUUUYCUGCUCAGRGCGAACGCUGGCGGCAGGCUUAACACAUGCAAGUCGAGCGGGCRUAGCAAUAYGUCAGCGGCAGACGGGUGAGUAACGCGUGGGAACGUACCUUUUGGUUCGGAACAACWSAGGGAAACUUSWGCUAAUACCGGAUAAGCCCUUACGGGGAAAGAUUUAUCGCCGAAAGAUCGGCCCGCGUCUGAUUAGCUAGUUGGURRGGUAAYGGCUYACCAAGGCGACGAUCAGUAGCUGGUCUGAGAGGAUGAUCAGCCACAUUGGGACUGAGACACGGCCCAAACUCCUACGGGAGGCAGCAGUGGGGAAUAUUGGACAAUGGGSGCAASCCUGAUCCAGCCAUGCCGCGUGAGUGAUGAAGGCCCUAGGGUUGUAAAGCUCUUUUGUGCGGGAAGAUAAUGACGGUACCGCAG
rnacentral:rRNA from 1 species